AUAUCCACCUCUGGUUUGCAGGAGAGAACGUGCUCCACCAAGACCUGCCUCCAGAGAGAGAGAUGCUGCCUCCUAUACAGAGAGGCGUGAGAAAGACAAGUCAUAGGCGACAGGUAAACUUCUAACCCCACCCUGAUUUUUCUUUCAGAAAG